UACACACACACACAUAUAUACACACACAUACACACACACAAACACAAACACACAUAUAUGUACAUAAGGGUCAAGAUUAAUACUCAGUAUUCUAUUGAAGAAGGAACAGAGAAUGAGAAUGUAUGGAGCAAAGGGGGAAGAAAACUAUCAAAGAGCAAUAUUGAAGAAAUAGAAGAAGUAGAAGAAUGAGAAGGAAAAAAUAACA